UAUUUAAAAGUAUAACCUUUUGAUCAUCGUCAUUUUUGGAAUGUAUAGGAGCAAUCAAAUAUGUGUAAGGCUGUCAGACCAUAGAAGUGGCACAAAGUCGUUUCUUCAGAGACAAGUAGAGCUCACUGAAAUGCACGAUCGUCUUGUAGAUCGUGUCGAGUUAUUCAAAGAAACUCACACCAGUAGUAGUGGCGAGCUCAUUUCACCAGCUGCAGAGGAUGCUUUCGUAAGUUUUAGAAAACUUUAUAUUGGUUAUACUUUAAUUAUUCUAUGUUUUUAAGUAUAAUAAUCUCUCAAACUUACAAGCUUUUGUUGUGCAGAAUCAGAUGGUGGAUCUUCAGUCUCAGCCCGUCUCAGAGGGUUCUGAACCACUAACUCAGGACGAGAUAUGCGAGACAGUUUUGGGUAGACGACUGGGCUACUCAAAAGGUCUUGGUUGGGGCCCAAAACCCAGGUCUAGGACUGCCGCUUCAUCUUCUUCCUCCAGUAUGUAGGACUACCAGACACACAUAGCAGAGAUUAGCGACCUCAAAUCGAGACUUGACAACACUAACCGAAUGCUCCAAGAACAACACUUGAGGGAGGAGGAGCGAGAUCGACAAAUUGCGGACCAAGCACGAAAAAUGGAAGAGAUGAAGAAGAUGCUCGAGGAGAUGAGUUGUGCACAGAGAGGCUCGUGAUCACUUGGGUACACACUUUUCACUAUUUAAUUUGCUUAAUUUCCAUAUGUGAUAUUCUAACAAUACUUUUAUGUUAUUUGUAGGUUUGGUGUCCACUGCACGAGAGCAUUAGAUCUUAAGUUUUUGUUUUAUGUAAUGUUUUGAAUUAUGUAAUUAAUUUCUCGUAUCGAACAUAUUUAAUUUAUCAUUUGAUUUCGUAAUGAAUAAUACUUUUAUUUCUAUCAAUUUACUACAGAUUUUAUUACAUCGAGUAAAUCAAACAAUAUAUAAUAAUAAUAAUAAAAUAAAAAAAUAAAAAACCUUUUGCGACGUAGACAUCGCGGAAGGCUUAUGUGACGCCAGCGUCGUAAAAGCUUUCUGCAACGUCUACAUCGCAAAAGUCUACUGUGACGUCUGCGUCGCAUAAGCCUUCCAUGAUGUCUGCGCCGCCAAAGCCUUCCGCGACAUCUGCGUCACAAGAACCUUUUGCGACAUCGGCGCCGCAAAAGCUGUCCUCGACGUAUUGGGACCGCGCGCGGAGGAAAUAUUUUAUUGCGUGGCAGCAAGCGGCGUCAUAGUAGCUUUUCGCGAUGUUGUUUGCAUUUUCGACGACGUUCAUGUGCGUCAGGGAAGAGCGGUAGUGAAUGAUCGUGUAGGAAACAAUAGUCAAAUCUAAAUGAUCAUUUUUCACAUAUAUUACGUGCGUUGAAUGCCAAUUAAUGACAGGACAUUUGUUGUAUUUUUCAUUGUGAGCGUGUGAGUUUUUUCUGAUUUUGAAAUUGUUCUAGAUUGUAAGUAUAUUAGUUAGUGCUUUGUUAUAUUUUUUAAAAGAUCCUUAAAUUUAACCAUUAAUUAAUAAAAAAAAGUUAAAUACUUACACAAUUAUCAUAUAUCAAACUAAAUUAGUGUUUGACAAAAUAUCUAAACUGUAUCUAAGAAUAUUUGUUUGGUUACUUUUUAAAUAAGGGCAUUUUCCCUAUCAUUGUUUUUUAUUAAAAUAAAAAUCAGAGUUGAACUAGUGUAUCAACUUUUCAAUAAAAUGCUAUAAAAAUGAUUAAGUGAUUGAAUAUUAUGAGUUUAAAAAGUGAUUUUGAGCUUUUAUAAGCCAUACGGUUCGUUUGGAUUAAAAUACGUGCAAAAACGCAUCUUUGAUGCGCUUUUAAAAUUUGAAGCUUUCUGCAAAAUUACAAAAAAUGCUACUGAACUUGUUUUAGCUCCGAUUUGAGCGAUAUUUGUUAUGUUGGACGGGUCGCGAAAUCCAAAUUAUUGUUAUCUAUAAAAUGGUAAAUUUAGUAAAUAUAUGGAGUAAUAAAAGGAGAGUUAGAUACUAAAAAUCACAACCAAAGAACUAACACAAAUGAAUAAUCAUAAAUAGUACAUGCUAUAAUUAUUUUGAGGAUUACAGACCCAAUGGGUUGAGUUCAAAUCUUGACAAAGUUGAGAAUGACCAUCAAAGCCAUAUGAGGAUUUGAACUCGAGAAUACAGUCAAGUCAUGAGUCUAACAAUGAUAUUUUUAGCACUGCACACCAUUACGUUUUGGACUAGGAGAAGACCAUGUGAUAGGUCCUUUUGGCAUGCAACUUUGAAGGGUUGAAUGAGUCAUUGUCGACGUUUGUUCCUGGUUUUCCUUGGGCAUUUUAAGGGUUGAAUGAGUCAUUGUCGACGUUGUGGUCGCAACAAGGUAUCGAGAUGAUUGUUGAGUGAAUGGUAAUGCAUUAUUAGUCAAUGUUGUGGGUGGUAAAGGGAGAAGGUUUCUUGAAGUUGCCAUGAUGAGGAUAGUAGAAGAUGACAUGAUGAAGAGGAACAAGUAUAUGAAAAGGAAAGGAAAACACCUUAAAGCCAUUGAAAUAUAUAGGAAUAACAAAUCAAACUAUUCAAAACAAUGAAGAUAAAUAAUUUGUAUGAAUUGUGAUGUCGAGACAUUAGGUUUUAAAUAGGAUUGUAUGUAGAGAAGAGAACAAGUCCAUUAUACAAAUUUGGAGAAGGCCGUUGUUCCUUUGGUAUUAUUGUUUUCUACUUCCUAUAUUUGUUCAUUUCACAACCUCAUUUUUCCUAUGUUUGAAAUUAUGAAGAACUUCCUCAACGCCAUUCUAUAUUUGGUAUAUAUGAUAAAAUACUCAAAUACAUUAAUAAAUGGAUCGAUUGGAUAAAUGCAGGUCGUUUUGAAAACAAACUAAUAAAAACAAAAGGCUGUUUUCAAAAUAGGUAUAUAGAGUUUUUUUUUAAAACAUAAUUUCAAAGGUUAAUUUUCAUAAAUAUAACAAAACACCAAAAUAUUUACGACUAUAAAAGUUCUUGAAAAAAAAUCGUUGGGAUAUUCAUACAAAUUUGGUAGCUAAAUUUAAACAAUUGUGUGUAUCAAAAAUCUUGAAAAAAAUUUGUUUAGAUUUGGAUAGACAAAUCUAAACAAUCAUGUAGCCAAAUUUAAACGAUCAAGUAACCAAAUGUAAACGAUCGUGUUCCAAUAAAUUCUUAAAAAAAUAUAAUACCCAGAAACUUUUAAAAAAAUUGUUUAGAUUUGAGUACACUACGCAAGAGAACGAAAGUAUCCCGACAAACAAAAAAGCAUCUAGAUAGACAAAUUUGGGACACAAAGCUUUACACGAUGCAAUAAAACCUGUGUUGGCAGUGGUCCUUUAGACCAACGUGGUGUUGAAAAUGUCAGGACAGCAUACCACUUCCCUGAUGCAACGCACAAAGACGUCGGGGGAAACAUUUCAUUUUAAUAAUAAUUUCCAUUUUCUCUAACGCCAUGCAAGUACACGUUGGGGAUGCCCUAGCUAUGGUCAACAUGGAAGUGUGUGGUAUCAGGAAAGAUGGAAAUUAUUAUUAAAAUUUAUUGUAACCUCGACGUUUACGUUCAUGGUGUCAAUAACUGGUCAGGCUCUACCGAUGUUAGCGUUGACCACGUCGUGGAAAAUUGAACAUUUAAAUAAUUAUUUGAAAAUUUCCCCGACACAAUAAGUGAGAGGUCGGGCUUUGUCAGACUAUGGCCAAUGUAAAGGUUGACCACGUCGGAAGAAACUGUAACGUUUGAAUAAUUUUGAAAACUUUUCCCUUACGCCAUAAGUGAAGCGUUGAGAUUGAUCUCAAGUAAUUAUGACAUUUUCACUUAUGACAUUCGGAUUAGAGGGUUCUUGCGAUGUUUUCGAGCUACAUCAGAAGAACCCUUGUUAAUCACUGUUCUACAGAACAUAGAACACACAAAAGAGAAAAGAGAAAGAUGAAAGAGAAAAGAGAGAGAGAGUCAUUCACCAUUGUGUUCCGCCACCCACCGUCCUCCUUUCGUCGUUGUAUAAUUCCAUUGUAUCUACUAUCAAGUAAAGAUACACUUUUGUUUUUUGUUUUUUUGUUUUUUUGAUUUUUUUUUCUAAAUAAAUGUAUGAUUGAUAUAUUGUAGAUUGUAGAUUAUAUGUAUAGAUGGUAUAUUGUAGAAUGUAUAUUGUAAUUAUAUUGUAUGUAUAAAUUGUAUAUUGUAUGUGUGAUUGAUAUUGAAUAUGUUGCAUGAAUAAAUAAAUGUAUGGUUGAUAUUAGAAUGUAUGUGUAGAUUGUAUAUUGAAAUUGUUGGAAGUUUAUAAAUUAAAAUGUAUAUGAAUCGUUUAUGAAUUAAAUUGUAUGUAUAAAUGAAAUAUUGAAAUUUGUAAUACGUUGGGGUUUAAUUUAUUGAAAUUGUGAUUGUUAUGGAGUAAUUUAAUUUAUUGAAAUUGUGAUUGUUAUGAAGUAAUUUAAAUGUAUUGAAAUUAUUGAAUGAUGAAAUUGAAAAUUUUUAAAUUGUUGAAAUAGUUUAAAUACUUGAAAUUUUGUAUUCAGGUUGUGGCUAUCCUACAAUUAUAGUAGCGUGUAGUUUUUUAUUUGUGAUUAUGGUUUGUUUGUUAAAAUUAAGUGUUAGAUAGAAUUAUGGUAGGCUUAAGUAUUUUAUAAUUUGUUAAAAAUGUUAGGUUUCUUCUAAAGCUUGUUAGUUGGAAUUGUUAGGUAUCUUGUUUAGUUUAAAUUUAGAUGUAGUGAAAGUUGGGAUAUUGGAUACUUGUGAGGUGUAGUUUAUUGAUGGAGUAAGUUUGAGCAUUUGAUAAGAGGAAUAUAAGACUAAUGAAACAUUUUUAUAUUCUAGAACAUUAACGAUGGACAAAGGUUGGAUGAAACUUAAGUUCUUGGUUGAGUAUAGAGAUGGAGUGUCUCAAUUUUUAGAGGUUGAAACGUAUUAGGUCGAUGAGUACCCACGGACAAGGUGUCCAUGCAAGAAAUGUAUGAACUCAAAUUAGGACUCAUUAGAGAGUGUGGAGUGCAUUUAUUAACGAUUGAAAUAUCCCCCUCCUAUAUAAAUUGGAUGUAUCAUGGAGAGCCAGUGAAACUUGGAUAGAGGUAUAGAAAGAUUUGAUGAAGGAACUCCCUUCCAUGAAGGAACUAGCAGUGACCCUUUUUUUGAAGACAAUGAAAUGUUGGGUAUGCUUCAUGAUUUAAGAGCUCUGAUUGAACAUGAAGAAGAAAUAGAGGAAGGUUUAGAGAAUGACAUGUCGUUUAAUACUGGUGUAGAACAAGAGAUGGCGAACAUAUUUCAAGAGUUAUUAAACUAAGCACGUAGUGAGCUAUACCCCGGCUGUUCAAAGUUUUCAUUCCUGAACUUUUUGGUUAAGUUGAUGCAUGUAAAGAUUGUAAGCGGUUGGAGUAACAAGUCCUUCAACAUUUUUUAGAGAUAUUAAAACAUGUGUUUCCAAUGUAUACUACCACUAUCCCUAGUUCAUUCUACGAAGCCAAACAAAAAUUGCUUGUCUUGGGCCUAUGAUACGAGACUAUUUAUGCUUUUAAGUACAACUGUGUAUUGCACUGAAAGGAGUAUGGGGAUUUGCAACAUUGUCUUGUGGCUUGUGGUGUUAAUUCAUUACAAUUUCCAUCUUAGAAAUAUAUGAAAGUUUCCAACUUCUGCAUGUCAUUGCUAAUACCUGGUCCAAGAUCGAGGUAGGAAAAUUGAUGCUUAACUCCAACCAUUGAUUGAGGAACUGAAAGAGUUAUGGAGUUUUGAUAUGUGUAGUAUGGUUCUCUUAUCGGUCAGUUCUUUCAAUGUAUUUAGCUGGAUGAUUAAUGACUUUUCAGUGUAUGGUGACUUAUCUAGGUAGAUGGAAUACGAAAGGGUAUUAAGCAUGUCUUAUAUGCAUGAGAGAUAGAUAUCUGGGAUAAGAGGAAAAAUUGCUUUCAUGGGCAUCGACAUUAUCUUCCAGAUAACCAUGUUUGGCAUACACGUAAGCUACAUGAUGGAAGUGUAGAGCAUAGGCCUUCUCUUAAUAAGCAUGAUAUCUUUGAACAACUAGAUUUGCUGAAGUUUUUAGUGAUAAGUAAACAUCCAUAACUGAAAGAUAGAUAUUUGAAUUGGAUGAAAAGACGUAUCUUUUUUUAACUUCCUUACUGGCCAAGUUUACUAAUACAUCAUAUUUAUCAGGUUCAAGAGUUCAACAGAGUCGACAGGUAUCGUUCGAGGAGAGUGAUGUCAGUUCGCUUCACGUCGUCUUCUGGGGCUAAGCUACCAGGUACUUCAGGAGGGGGUGUGACAAAUAAGGUUGGGCACUUUAUUUUGGGAACAUUAUGGAUACGAUCUGCUUCGUAGUUAGUACAAAUGAUGUGAUCCUGAAUCGUUCAUGUAAAGACAUGGAAGUGCGGGCAUCCUAUGUAAAGAGUUUAUAUAAUAUUAGAGCCAUGAAAUGAUCAUUUUUAAGUUAUAGCACUGUUGACUUUAAUAAAAGUAACUAUUUCUUUUUAGGAUUUAGAUUUAGGGUUUAGGGUUUAGGGUUGAGUUUAGGGUUUAAGGUUUCAUGUGAACAUGAGUUCAUAGUUAGCUCAAGAUUAAAAUGAAGUUACACUGGAUAUUUAUAGGUGAGGGCAACUCAUUAGCGCUAGUCCAAUAAGUCUUCAGUUCAGGGGUAAAUCAAGUGGAUAGCUGAGAACAUAAAGUGCAAGAUGGUUGUUCCUUAAAUGGCAGAAUCUAAGUCUUGAACAAGGGGCCCCACCCUCUCAUUAGCUCGAGAGGGAUUCAGUUUACAAGUUUAACCUUAAACUAAUUGUUCAAUAGUGAAUUAGUGGGACUUAAGAAGCAAGGUGUAGUCCCGACGGUAAAACAAUACUUUGAUCCAAACCAUAAACAGUAAACUCAAACACUAAACCGACACAAGUUAAUCUCAAAUACUAAAAUAUCCACCUAUAUAAUAUAUAUAUAUAUAUAAAGUAGAGGAAUGAUAAGUUUUUAGUGCAUUUUUUAGGGUUUAAUUAGACUUCUGGUGUGUUUGGAUUACAUUUUGAAGUGUUUAAUUUAAAAAAUAAGUUACUUUAAAAAAACUAAAGUGUUUGAAAGCCACUAAAGAUAAAAUUUUAAAUGUAUUUUAAACAAUAUUUUUGGGAAAAGGAAAAAUAGUGUAAAUAAAAAUGAGUUUAUUGAAACACAUUUUUUUUUAAAAACAAAUCAAUCCGAACGAAUCCCAAUCCUAAAUAGUAAGGUGUUCUCGAUGGUAUCUUGUGAGGUUGCAAUUUCAAUUUAUGUCUAAUUGCUCCAAAUUAAUAUAUCUCUAUUACCGUCUUCUCUUUUCACCCAUUAAUGCUUAGUUUACACAGAACAAUCAUAUUUAUACAAUAUCUUUUCCUUUGAAAUAGGAAAUUCAAAUAAGACAAGAAGGACAUUAUAUUGGUGGAUUUCUAUUCAUCCAAAUUGAGCGGGUAAUAAGUGUCAAUUUUGGAUUGUUAGUUUUAUUCUAAAUAUUCUUACAAAGAAGUUUGCUCUAACAAAUCCCUUGUGUUUUUGUUGUUUAUAUAAAAGAAAAAAGUUAUUUUUGGUGCUAUGCCAAAUUUAGCCUUAAUUUUUAUUAAGAAACAAUCCCUAUAUAAAAAGGAGAAAUACACGAAGAGAAAACACACAACAAAAAUGGUGACAAUUAUUAGUUCUAAUAUGGCAUUGAGAACUUGUGCUCUCGUACUCCUUGGGGUGCACUUUGGAAUCUAUCAAACACAUGGUAGAAGUUUGUUUGAUGUCAAUGAAGACAACUCUCUUUUUCAAAGUAAAUUUAAGGCGCCCAUUAUAAUUCAUCCAAAACAACAUAUCCAUUUUUCACUUUCAAAACCCGAAGGAAUGCCUGAUUCAGAUACACAUUUCAGUUUUGGAAUAUUCUCAAAAGAUGUUCGUAUUCCUCCAUCUGGACCAAGUCAAAGAUCUUCAGACUCUCCGUCUCUCCCAUCCAUCGUCUUACAUAAAGAAUCUCGAAUUAACUUUGGAAUAUUACCAAAAGGUCGACGUAUUCCUCCAUCUGGGCCAAGUCAAAGAUUUUCAGACUCUCCACCUUCCCCAUUCAAUGUUUUACAUAAGGAAUCUAGACUUAACUUUGGGAUAUUACCAAAAGGUACGCGUAUUCCUCCAUCUGGGCCAAGUCAAAGAUUUUCAGACUAUCCACCUCCUCCACCACAUGUUCCUUUUGUUAUUUAAAAGAAAGAAACUAAAUUUGUUUGUGGUAUACAUAUUAAGCAUUUUUUUCAUUAUCACUUUCAAGGAGAAAGAUGUUGAAAAUGACUAUCAUUGUACUGAUUUAUAAUUAAUGUUUCAAUUAAAAAUUAAUAAUAAUAAUAAUAAUUUGGAUGGUUAUAAUGAUAUAUUCAAUACAUUUUAUAGUUUUAAAAUUAUUAUUCUUUUUAUAUAUUUUAAAGAAAAUAUUUAUGCGGUUGGUUCUUUUUCUUUCCAAACAACCCUAGCUUUUUUCUCAGAGCAAGUUUUUUUUUCUUUUGAUUCCAUUCCUUCUCCAUUUAAGGGAACACUCAUCUACUAACCCUAAAAAAGGUACAACCCUUUGUUCAUGUUCUAGAGACACCAUUAAAGAAACACUCAUCUACUUACCCUAAAGUAGGGAAAGAGUUAAUUUCAUCUUGUGUUAUUAUGUUUCCAGCUCCCUACUCAGUCUUGUCCCCAAAAUGAUAAGCUUAUUGAGUUGGCGAUCUGACCACUUUCACCCGUACAAAUCAAAGAACAGUCUCUCACGAACAGAAGUUCAUAAUACACAUAGGAUUCAAACUAAGUUACUUAGGUCAUCCUAAUGAAAUAGAAACCUAACUAGUUAACGGAGUUACAUCUAGUGGUUACUAUUUGACGAUUUGGUCUUCUGCAAACUCAUUGCAUAGGAUACUCUCACUCGCAUGUCAACUACACGAAUGCGUUGGAUCAUUGCGUUUGUACCAAAUACAAAGUGGGUCAUAUCCAUAGUGUUACUGGGAUAAGGUACCCAGCCUUAUCUCUAUACUAUAAACCCUUUAAGUUGAUCUCGAACAUUGAUUCAUGUAUAUCUCUACAUACUAUUCAAGAUUCAUUGAACAGCUUAGGAUGUUAGUUUAUUGAAUUUGGAUUAUUAAAACAAAACUAAUAAUAUAAUCAAUAGCAAUUAUUGCAAUAAUAACACAAACAAUGGUUAAUGGAUUAUAUUUACAAUCUACGAGUUUUAGGACAUAAAUUCGAACACAAAAAACUUUUAGUAAACACCUAUAUUAACAAUUCACUUCUCAAAACAUUGUUUACUAAAUUAUUGUUAAAGUUUUUCUCUUUAAACGUUUAGAAAGUAGUUAAAGACCAUAAAGAAAUUUGACUUGGUGAAUUUCAUCUUUACGUACACUUGAAGUAUUAGAAGACCAUAUACAAUUACAAAAGCUUCAAGACUCUAUAGUGGCUAAUUUAUUCCUAGAAGAACACAAGAAUCAAAACAUUCUAAAUUUCACAUUUGAUUCAAAAUAUUUUUCAUAAGUCUAAAAUUGCAACUAUAUACUUAUGAUUGUCUCCUUAUAAUACCACUUUUGGGGAUAACAUAAGGUAUAAGUUUUCCUGCCUAAUAAGAUAUCAUAUAUAUAUGAUGAAUAUAUUCAAUAGCUUAGACAAUAUAUUAAACUUUCAUAAAAUCCUAAUGAGCUUCAUAAAUGACGAAUUUGUAUAUUUUCAUACUACUAGCAAACUUUAGUAAUAUCCAAAUAAUGUUGUACGACGAAAAUUAUUAACAAUUCAUGACGCAAGUCGUGUAUAAACUUUGUCACAUAUAACAUACAUGAAACAUUAUUUCUACUCAUGCUAACAUGCUAAUAGACAUGCUCAAGUAGAUCACAAUAGCAUCUCAAUAUUCGCAAACUGGUUUAUCAUUUAAAUCUAUAAAUCUAUAUACAAUACUAUUACGAGCAUAAUGAAUAAACAUAGUCAAAGGUUUCAAUCAUAUCAUACAUUUCUUGAACACAAGCUUGUAAAUAUUUAGACACCCCGCGCUUCUAAAUAUUUAGAAUUGCGUUAGACUACCAUAUCAAACUAAACAGAUGUCUUGCAUUAACCUGAUAAGUUAAUUUAUAUUUGUGGAACAAAUUACUAACCAAAAUAUCAUCAAUAACACAAACCAACAAUCCAAUUAAAAUCAUCAACAAAUAAAUGCAUGGCCUCUAAGCUACAUCUUAGACCCUUCAACAAGUUUUUAAAAUUGAAUUUUUCAUAAAAUUUCACUGGCAUCUUCAUCCAAAUUGACAAAAGAUGAAAUUUUUACAUGCUCAACUGCUUUUCCAAAUUUCUCAAACCACAUAUGACAAUUUAAUUUCUUUAAAUUACUUCCUAAUUUUCAAUGGAUUUUUUCUUAAUUUUAGAUAAACUCGUACCAAUCUAAAAUAUAAAUAAUCAAAAUAUAAUCUUUAUCAAUAUUUUUAACAAUCUUCACAAUGACAUAUGAAACUUGAUGAAGACAAAGAAUUAAAGGAGUUACCUACCAGUUUCUUCAUUUUUGGGUCAAUUCAAGAUGAUUGAUGGGUGGUGUUUACAUUACCUCUACAUAUUCUAGACCAAUGCAUGAGAUAAGAAGAAAUAUCUACUAUUUUUUUUCUUUUAUGAUUUUCUAUUUUGUAACCCACUUGAAUCCAUCUUCCACCACCUCCAUGAUGCUAAAGGAAGACAGCCUCAAAGCUCUGGCUCUUCACAAGAUGAAUCUUAAAGAAAUUCAAGCCAAGAAGAAUUGGGAAUGGCAAAAGUAGGAACAAGUAUUGGAAAAUCCUCAAGGUUUUUUCAUUCAGACCAUUGUUAGUAUUGUUCUUAGAAAUCCUAUCAGAGUUCUUACCUCUUCGCUCCUUUAAUAGCUUGCAUGAUGUAAUGUUAAAUAUAAUCUAAAUCUUUCCUUUUCUACUCUUUAACUCUUAUGUAUGAAUUGCUUUUAAAAUUUCUUUGCAAUGUAUCAAAGAGUUAAUCAAUAAUAAUGGCUCUAAAAUUUGGUGAAUACCAUUUUGCCACUGUCCUACUCAAAUCCACCACCUCUCGUCAAGAUCCUCAAUUUUCUUUCUGUUCGUUUGUCUCUGAUUUUUUUGUGUGAGCGUCGUCCAUAUCCGCUGCCAACCAGAAUGCGAGUACUUUAGACACUAUUGACCAGACCUUUUCCUCCCCAUUCUUUAAACACCGUCGUCCAUCCCUUCUUGAAAACUGAUCAGAUCUAUCGCCCUGAUCAAUCCACUUGUUCUUCAUUUCCAUUUUUCGUUUUUCAUUUUUCUUCUCUUUUCAGAUUGGAUCGACAUGGGGUGGCCUUCAUCCUAACGCCGACACAUUUUGAAGGAUCAUUCUGAUCUCGCUCCAUCUUUUAACUUUUUAAAAUUAUAUAAAAAGAAUAAUAAUUUUAAAACUAUCAAAUGUAUUGAAUAUAUCAUUAUAGCCAUCAAAAUUAUUAUUAUUAUUAUUAUUAUUAAUUUCCAAUUGAAAUGUUAAUUAUAAAUAAGUACAAUGAUAGUAAUUUUCAACACCUUUCUACUUGAAAGUGAUAAUGAAAAAGAUGCUCAAUAUGUAUACCACAAUCAAAUUUAGUUUCUUUCUUUUAAAUAAGGAAAGGAGCAUGUGGUGGAGGAGGUGGAUAGUCUGAAAAUCUUUGACUUGGCCCAGAUGGAGGAAUACGCAUACCUUUCGGUAAUAUUCCAAAGUUAAGUCUAGAUUCCUUGUGUAAAACUUUGAAUGGGGAAGGUGGAGAGUCUGAAAAUCUUUGACUUGGCCCAGAUGGAGGAAUACGUCGACCUUUUGGUAAUAUUCCAAAGUUAAUUCGAGAUUCCUUAUGUAAGACAAUGGAUGGGAGAGGAGGAGAGUCUGAAGAUCUUUGACUUCGUCUAGAUGGAGGAAUACGGACAUCUUUUGAGAAUAUUCCAAAACUGAAAUGUGUAUCUGAAUCAGGCAUUCCUUCGGGUUUCGAAAGUGAAAAAUGGAUAUUUUGUUUUGGAUGAAUUAUAAUGGGCGCCUUAAAUUUACUUUGAAAAAGAGAGUUGUCUUCAUUGACAUCAAACAAACUUCUACCAUGUGUUUGAUAGAUUCCAAAGUGCACCCCAAGGAGUACGAGAGCACAAGUUCUCAAUGCCAUAUUAGAACUAAUUGUCACCAUUUUUGUUGUGUGUUUUCUCUUCGUCUAUUUCUCCUUUUUAUAUAGUGAUUGUUUCUUAAUAAAAAUUAAGGAUAAAUUUGGCAUAGCACCUAAAAAUAAAAUUUUAGUUUUAUAUAAACAACAAAAACACAAUGGGUUUGUUAGAGUAAUCUUCUUUGUAAGAAUAUUUAGAAUAAAACUAACAAUCUAAAAUUGACCCUUUGUUUACACGUUACCUUAAUUCAAUAGAGUCUUCUCAAUUUGGAUGAAUAGAAAUCCACUAAUAUAAUGACCCUUUGAUUACUCUACAUACCUGGAGUAAAUCAUCGUUGCUCCCGUCCUUUGGUAUUACCAGAUUAAGUUUUAAAGUUUUGAUUACGCUGCUGAGGCAUGACUCUUAUAACAUAUCAACCAUUAGACAUGUUAUAGAAGCUACUAACUACUUUAACUUUAAACUUUAGCUCUAACUUCAUCUUAGACUUCCCUUAACUGAUCUAUUCCUUUCCCUUACUUUCUCUACCUCACAAAGAACUAUUUGUUCUUACUAACAUGACUUACACUUCACUCCCCAAAGACUAAACUCUUGCUCUAAUACCAAGUUGUCAUGUCACGUCUCGGACCAAGCAGGCAGGUGCUCUAGACAGGGUGUGACACUGUAGAUGAAAGCUUAAGGGUUGAGUAGAGUCCAUCUCUUACUUCCCAUGACUUGUACUAUUCAUUUCUUUUAUCUUUCAUUUUUGUAUUUCUUUGUAAUGUAUUUGUUCAUAUUGUACAGUAACCAAAGGCCUACAUUCUUUAAUACAUUACAUGUUUAUACCUUUUGAAUCCAUCAAAUCUUUACUAUUCAUCUGUCAAUUUGUUAUUUGUAGUUUAGGUUUGUGAUAAGUUCUUGAUAAGAAGCUUAGCUUAUAACUCUUAUCGCAUUAGCUAAUCUAUAUUAAUCACUUGACCCGUGUUUAUCGACAACUAUCCGAGAGGACAAGUAGCAAAGAUAUGGUUAACGCGUGCAAAGAGGAGUUUGGAAACAAACUCCAUCUUGACAAGAUAACUUCCAUCAUUUGUAUCCUAAAAGGAGAAGAAGUGUGGGUGUUUAGCGUCGAGAGGUUGUCACCCUUAAAAGAGAAGCUUCAUAAGUUUUGUAAGUGAAAUGUUCUAGAUAUGCCUUGCUUAACCAAGUGUGGUGUUUAAUGACACCAAGAGAUUCUUGCCUUAAUCAUAAGCUAGUUAACUAACUUAUGUCGCAUCAAGGCUUUCAUAUUGCUAAUGGCCUAGUAGUGUAGAGACCUUCCUUCUCCCUUUUCUUAUACACAAGUUAGUUCCCACCUCUAUUUCGCCUCCAUCCUAAUUUCCUUUAUAGAUUCUCUUCCGUUGAUAAGUAUAUAUAGUAUAUAAACUUACACUUCUUUACACUAUUUAGUUAAUUCCUUAAUUUUAUACUACCCGAAGGAAGAGUAAUCCCUAGAACUAAUGCUUUGAUAUCAAUUUCCUCUGUCUGACCUUGGAUUAUCCAGGAAACCUAUUGUUUUGCUUACACUUGAGCAAGGACUAGGAAAACUUGUACUCAACAAGGACUUAGUAAUUACAUGAUGAAGAGGUAAAUAGUGAGCAUAUAGUAUGCAGUGACCAUGACCAAUGACUCACCAUGUAGAGUUAGCGCGACACCAACAUAUACAAUAACACUAUUCCCCAAGUCCGAACAAAUGCUUCCAAGUCAACAAGCUGAUACACAUAACAUAAGAUAAAACAAUUGUUUCAAACAAGAAGGUGAUUCGUAAAAACUAUAUCACUUGGUACUUUUUUUCUCCUUUAUUUAAUCAUAUUGUUAAAAUAGAAAACAUCUAAUAAAAGGGAUAUGCUAGGCAUCAAGGUUAAAGAGAGCAAAUGAAAUUUAUUUCAUAAAGUAUUGAUGAAAUUUAUUUAAUCUUACAUAUAGAAAGCACUACAUGACAAGAAGCACUUCACGAUGAAGAACAUCAUGGUUUCUGCAGGCAAUUAAUAUUCUUAGUUAUCUAGCAAUUAGUACUUCACAAGGGCAUGACUUGUGAAUAUAGUAGGUUAUCUUUGUACAUCUAAUUUUGAUCAACAUUUGUAAAAUUUUGCUUUCAAAUUGUAGGAAAAACAAAAUGUUGUGACGUGACAAACGAACUACUUCCUUGAAAGAAAAAAUCGAUGCUACCUUAUGCUAAAUCAAAUAUGUCAGUUGCUCCCCAAGUUUAACACAACUUUUCAACUCAAGCAUGCACUAGUGGGAGAAGAAAUGAAAUCUAAAGAAAAAAACUUCCUCUAAGGAAAAAGAUAGGGUGUUUGGAAAGAAAAAGAACCAACCCCAUAAAUCUUUUCUUUAAAAUAUAUAAAAAGAAUAAUAAUUUUAGAACUAUAAAAUGUAUUGAAUAUAUCAUUAUAACCAUCAAAAUAAUAAUAAUUAUUAUUACAUUAAAUUCCAAUUGAAACAUUAAUUAUAAAUCAGUACAAUGAUAGUCAUUUUCAACACCUUUCUACUUGAAAGUGAUAAUGAAAAAUAUGCUCAAUAUGUAUACCACAAUCAAAUUUAGUUUCUUUCUCUUAAAUAAGGAAAGGAGCAUGGGGUGAAGGAGGUGGAUAGUCUGAAAAUCUUUGACUUGGCCCAGAUGGAGGAAUACGCAUACCUUUCGGUAAUAUUCCAAAGUUAAGUCUAGAUUCCUUGUGUAAAACAUUGAAUGGGGAAGGUGGAGAGUCUGAAAAUCUUUGACUUGGCCCAGAUGGAGGAAUACGUCGACCUUUUGGUAAUAUUCCAAAGUUAAUUCGAGAUUCCUUAUGUAAGACAAUGGAUGGGAGAGACGGAGAGUCUAAAGAUCUUUGACUUGGUCCAGAUGGAGAAAUACGGACAUCUUUUGAGAAUAUUCCAAAACUGAAAUGUGUAUCUGAAUCAGGCAUUCCUUCGGGUUGCGAAAGUGAAAAAUGGAUAUUUUGUUUUGGAUGAAUUAUAAUGGGCGCCUUAAAUUUACUUUCAAAAAGAGAGUUGUCUUCAUUGACAUUAAACAAACUUCUACCAUGUGUUUGAUAGAUUCCAAAGUGCACCCCAAGGAGUACGAGAGCACAAGUUCUCAAUGCCAUAUUAGAACUAAUUGUCAC
rnacentral:lncRNA from 1 species